AGUGAAAGAGAAAGUGAGUACCGGUGUAGCUCUUAUGUUCCUUCUGACAGCGCGGUCUUAAGUUCUGUCUGACUGCCUCGAAACUACAGGAAUGGACAGACUCAGACUGAGUAGUCGUGUAUCCAGUUUAAUUUGGCUCCUCCCUCUUUUAACGAACUUUAAUAAUGAUAUUGUGUCUGCGAUCGAAGGGUGCCCACUUCUCCCUCUCAAAAGCAAAACAAAGCCUUUCCAACCAAUGCAGAGCUACCCACAGGGUUAUAUGUUCUUCUAUGCCUGCAUUGAGGGUUAUGUGAGGAAAGCUGGGACUUCUUCCAUGACUCGGUGUCUGAAAAUAUCUGGAAACCAUGGAAGCAAUCUGCAGUGGGAUAAUAUCAGCGGGGACACUUCAUUAGUAUGCAUACGUAAGCCAUCCUUGCUCUCAUAGGUAUAUAUGCUGUGUUUGCCACAUAGUUGUGGCAUGUGUGUACAGGUGUUGUACACACAUAGCUGCUUGUAUUCACGUAGACAAACACAUUUUAUUUUGAAAUGGUACUUGUAAAGUUGAAGCUGUAGUAUUGCAUGUGCGAUUACUUCAGUCUGGUAUCGUUAAUGACUUGUGCAACAUUUUCUGUGCACAUAAACACUCCGAUAUAUGCUGCACAGUAGCAUACACUCUGGAGAAGCUGCACACACAAACACACACUCAGGCACUUCUCUGUGUGAAUUGUGAUUACUCAAGUGUGGCAGUUCCCAAACUGUGGCCUGUGUACUGUGACUGCCAGUAAAAGCCUCCUUGAUAGGCCAUAGGUGAUGUUUCAAGUUUAUGAGAACUGAAUUUGUGAUGUGUAAUGAACUGGUUUUCUACAGUGUUGAUACAACGUAACAAUCCCAUUGAUGACUGAAACUGAUCCAAAGAGAAAGAAGACAGCUGAAGGUAAAUUGCUUCAUUGAAAUCUUUAUUAAAUCUGAUUCUUUGGCCUAAACAUCACUCAAUGGCCUUAUAUAACUCUGUCUCCAUGAUCCCCACAUCGCACUGUCUAAGUAUAUAUAUGUCCUACACAUCACACCGUCUCUGUAUAUGUGUUCUACACAUAAGGCUCCUGUGGGGUUUAAAAGGGUGAAUCACUGCCAGUCUCCCCUCACAUGACACAAUCACAUGCAAAAACAUUUAACAAUCUGCUCAGCCAAGCACUAUCAUUUUUUAUGGGUUUUUUCUCGGUGUGCCAACUUUUAUUGCAAGCAGAAGUGUGUACCAAGUACAAACGUAUAUGUUAUGAAGCUCAACCUCUUUUUCUCAGAUGAGGUGUUAUUCUGUCUAGCAAAGAUUUGGUUGGUAAAGGGUAUGCUAUCACAUUAAAAUUUUUCAAUGGAAUUCCUCUUUAAAGCUUCUACAGAACUGUAUGGUGAGUUUUUGAUACUGUUAUAAUAAUAGUUAUAUAAUAAACUAUUAUGUAAUAAACAAUUAACUAAUAACUAUUUUAUAGCCAUGUUGGCAGAAAAUGUUUAUUAGUUAAUAAUAGUUUAUGUAAUAGUUAUAUAAUAAACUAUUACAUAAUAAACUAUUAUUAACUAAUAACUACUUUAUAGCCAUGUUGGCAGAAUACGUUUAUAACAAAGUUUUCUUGCAUUGUUUUUUUAAGAAUUUUACAAAAAUGAAAUGUAUAUGAUGUAUUAUAUAUCGGAAGAGGUUUUAUAAAUAAUAUCAUUAUUAAAUAAAAUAGAAAAUACUGUGACAAUGUAGUUUAAAUAAGGUUUUCAAACAGGUAGUUAAAUCAGUGGUGUUAAAACUCCGGCCCGGGGCCCGUCUGUGUAUGCUGGUUUUUGUUCCAACCACCAAUUGCAAUCCCAGAAUUUUAUCAAGUUGUUAAUUUUUCUUACUUAUGUGCUUUUGAUGUUUGGAGGGAUUAUUUACCCUCUUAGGCCAUAGCAUGUCAGAAAUGCUAGUCACAGGGGCGAUCAAAUUAACAAUGCCUCACAUAGCAAACACCUUUGGCCACUGUUUUAUUUUAAUUUUACGGUCAAUGUAUCAAAGUGUGGUUUCGUUUUCUGUCCAUUGGCCAAUUAAUACCAACCAAUAAAGGACAAGGGAUGUCAGAGCCUGCAUGAGUACUGCAUUAGACAGAUUUGGCUUUGGGUUUGCAGAGUUGCACGAUUAUUUUAUUUCAUAUUUGUCCUUCCUUGCAUUGUAAAUAGCUCAUCUUUGCCAUCUGUUUUAACUCUUGCAGGAAACAGCACACAAAAGACAGAGACAGAUGCGAUACAUAACAACACCAUACCCAUUGGUUUGGGCAGCGGUGUCGGAGUGAUCCUUCUCAUCGCUGUAACAGUGGGAGGAGGCCUGAUGCUACAAAGGCAAUGCUUCAGUGGAUGGAGGUCUAGAGAUUUGCCAGUACCAGAAACGGAACACGUGCCUCUGCAUCCCCCAGAAAUACACCAGCCUCAGCAAGAACAAAACAGGUCUAGCAAGGUAUGACCAUGGAAGACAAAAAGAGACCCAUUAAACCCUACCGAAGUCUACCAUCAAAAUACAACCGCAGGAGAUAAAUGGAAUGGAUUGAUCCACUGUGGCAGAUAUUGAAUAAAAUGGAACACACUGCAUUCAUGACAGUUAGAGACUGGAGAUAAAAUGUUGGGAACUGUAGGAAAGCUUUAGAAAUGAUCAGAAACAUGAAGAGAGUGGAUUCAUAGCACACAUCAAUGUGGAGGAUGUACGUUUUUUUUUAUACUGCACUUUAUAUUAUGUCUUUGUUCUUACCUCAAACACGUUUUAAAUUUGUAAAUAUGAAUUUUAUCCUGAAUUCUCCAAGGUGAACGACAGGCACUGAUAAAAUCCAUGGGGCCUGAUUUACAAAACCUUUUAGCACAUGCACUGAUUGGCUAUGGUAUCUGUUCUGCACCAAUCAUUGGUUGUGUUAUUGGUUUUGCACUUGCUCUUUUUUAAAUCAGCCCCAUGGUGUCUUGCACCUACUCUUUGUAUGAGUGGCGUACAGGUGAUUUGCCUCAGUGUCUGUGCUGGACGUCUUCCUUGGCUCUGGGCACCUGCCCGGAGCUCUAGCCCAUGUUUGCUGAGCACCCCCCCCUGGCCCAGAGCUCCAGCCCUAGACCAGCUGGAUCAGCUGGGCACCCCCACCUCCUGCCACUGUUGAUUCAGCUGUAGCACCCCCUGUCUGACCCUGCCACCCAUUGGUGUUCCUGCCCAUCUCUCUAUGUGACCGGAGUAGCCUUUGCUUGGACUUAAUUAAUACUAGAUUGGCUGUUUAUGUAUUAUAAUUUAUCUGUUUUCAUGUAAGCCAUAUCCAUAACAAACCGGUGCCUGCCCGCAGCAGAUGGGUUCCCCCUCUGAGUCCGGUUCUGCUC